UAGGAAUCUGCCUAUUAGUGGGGGACAACAUUCCGAAAGGAAUGCUAAUACCGCAUACGUCCUACGGGAGAAAGCAGGGGACCUUCGGGCCUUGCGCUGAUAAAUGAGCCUAAGUCGGAUUAGGUAGUUGGUGGGGUAAAGGCCUACCAAGGCGACGAUCUGUAGCGGGUCUGAGAGGAUGAUCCGCCACACUGGGACUGAGACGCGGCCCAGACUCCUACGGGAGGCAGCAGUGGGGAAUAUUGGACAAUGGGGGGAACCCUGAUCCAGCCAUGCCGCGUGUGUGAAAAAGGCCUUUUGGUUGUAAAGCACUUUAGCCGAGGAGGAGGCUACUACUAUUAAUACGACUGGAUAGUGGACGUUACUCGCAGAAUAAGCACCGGCUAACUCUGUGCCAGCACCCGCGGUAAUACAGAGGGUGCGAGCGUUAAUCGGAUUUACUGGGCGUAAAGCGUGCGUAUGCGGCUGAUUAAGUCGGAUGUGAAAUCCCUGAGCUUAACUUAUGAAUUGCAUUCGAUACUGGUCAGCUAGAGUAUGGGAGAUGAUGGUAGAAUUCCUGUGUAGCGGUGAAAUGCUUAGAGAUCUGGAGGAAUACCGAUGGCGAAGGGAGCCAUCUGGCCUGAUACUGACGCUGAUGUACGAAAGCAUGGGGAGCAAACAGGAUUAGAUACCCUGGUAGUCCAUGCCGUAUACGAUGUCUACUACCCUUGGGGCCCUUUGAUGCUUUAGUGGCGCAGCUAACGCGAUAACUAGACCGCCUGGGAGUACAGUCGCUACACUAAGACUCAAUGAUUGACGGUGACCCGCACAGCGUGAGCAUGUGGUUAAUUCAUGCACACGAGAUCAUACUGUCUCGACGUAAUACGACUUCGACAUGGAUGUGCGUCCGUACUACGAGACAUGUCUCAUGGCUGUCUCAGCUCGUGUCUGACAUGUCGGUGAUUCAGUACAGCCCAGCGUGUCCUACUCACGGGUAGGCGUAGCUGACCGCUAGUCUAUAGACAC
rnacentral:rRNA from 1 species